rnacentral:sRNA from 1 species
GCUGGGCAGGGUGGUGCACGCCUGUAAUCCCAUAUCUUAGGAGGCUGAGACAGGAGAAAUUCGAGUUUGAAGCUAGCAUCAGCAAUAGCGAGGUGCUAAGCAACUCAUUUGGACCCUGUCUAUA